AGCAUAUGUUUUUCCAUGCUGCACUCAUUACACUCUGCACUGUAGCUGUCGGGAGGCUGCAGAGGUCUGAGAUGCCGAGGGUUUCUGAUGUCGGACUGAAGGCGAAAGGUCAACUCACACUGGACGGACGGCUUUGAUACUCACAAACACAUUGAGCUUCAACGUAAGAUGAACUGCAAUUUGAGUUCUCCUCAGUUUUUCUAUGCGUGAAUAUGAAUUACUCAGCAGUUGCACAUGAUUCAUAGUUGAAGUUCAGAUAAUGACCCGACGCUGAUGAGCCAAAUCUUUUUUACGACGACUCACGGAUCAGAGCAGAUAACACUGAUUAUCUUGUGACACCAGCAUGUGUCAAGGACUGGCACAGAUCUGACAAAAAUGGCAGCGUUGGUGGAGGAUUGUUUCGCCCGUGAGUAGCGCCUGCAGGUCUUUCCCUUCAGUCUCCAGGAGCCAUGAUAAUCAGUUCUGCACUGUACAAAGCUAGCCGGUGAUUAGCCGAGCUGAGCAUGAAGCCUGAGAGCAGGGGGAAACCGCUAGCGUUGCUCUGGAGAAUCGACGCGGCACAGAUGAAUGCGACUCGUAGCCUCGGGGCGGAGGAAUGUUGGGACACGGCGAAGUUGUUUUCACUUGAAAGGUGAAAACAGUUAAGCCCUGAAGGAGAGAAUCUGCAGAUCACCUGUCAAACCACAACAACAGGCGCCUGCUAACUCAUGAGAUGAUCCUGCUGAAGCACCUUGUGUUUCUCGUUUACACCUUCCUUCUGCGACCUGUCGACAUUUUUCUACCGUGAAACAAGAAAAAGGCCGACGACCGAUAAUGUGUGAUUAUAUACUGACUGUGGUGUGUUAAGGAUCGCAGUCAGUCAAUCAUUUUUAAUCAAAUUAAGUGGGAAAAUGAAUGUAAGCAGCACAAGACAUGAGUCCUUUAAUGUUGGGUAACUGCCAGUUUCCUAGAGCUGCAACCAACUAACUUACUAAUUAUUUCCAUUAUUGAUUCAUCUGCAGGGUUUUUUUUUUCCACAAUUAUCCAAUUGGUCUAUAAAAAAUAAAUAAAUAAAUAAAUCAAACAAUAAUGAAAAACUGACUUUCAAAGAUUCAAUUUACGAUACUGUAAGAUGAAAAAAACUGAAAGUUUUAACAACUAACAUCAGAGUUUUGGCAUUUUCGCUUUAAAACUGACAAAUAACUGUUAUCAGAAUAGUUAAUAUUUAAUUUUCUUUCAAUAUACUUUUCAAUAAACUGACUAAUUACAUUUGCACACUGCACACUUGACAUUAGGGCGGGGACGAUGUGCUUAUCUCGACUCACUUGGCUGCUGAUUCAAUAUGUACUGCGACUUCUAAGUAUUGCGAUUUGAUAUUUUGAUUUAUUGCAAUUUUAGCUUUACUUUUUCAACACUUGACCAUGGGGAAAGGUUGAAUCUAGACCUCUAGAAAACAUGAGCUGUAUAUCAUGAGUCAUGUUUCCAAAUAUCACGUGAGUCAAGAGUUUUAUUUUUAUUAUGCUCUGCCGUGACGCUGACAGAAAUGCUAAAAGCAAAAAAAUGUGUCAUUUUGGCCGUAAGCCAAUAUAUUAGUUUUCUGCUUCUUAGUUAAAUAAAGUUCUGUUAUUAUGAAAUAAAUCAAAGCGGAACCACUGGUGCUUUUAUUCUGAAGCACCAAGCUUCUGGUCAACACACAGACAAGCAACAACAGCUAGCUGUUAGCAGAUAGCAGUUAGCAGAUAGCAGAAAGUUAAACAACUACCAGUGGCUGUUAAACAUUAAGAUCUUUUCACUGUGAGCGAGAUACUGAACAAACAAACAGUUCUCUGGUUCACGCACUGAUGCUAUCAGGGCUAGAAAGCUUGCUAACAAUUAGCUGCUAGCUGUUGAUAUCGAUUCAGCAAUCAGGCUGCCGAUUAAAAAGAACUGCUGCACCUAAUUAAUCGAUUUCUUUACUCACCUCUCUUUUACAGAAGGUAGGCCUGCACUCACAUUGUUCUAAACCAUCAUGGCGACAGAUUUUGUCCACGCACGCACAUAUAAACAACUGUCAAGAGUCUCCAACACCGCCUCAGUGGUGGUUCAGCAGGUGUCUCCACAACCAGACUUUGCUGUGACACAGACGCAAUACCAGCGCCACUGUCGCAGCAGUUAUUUACAACCAGCCGUCAUGGCUUCCUAUGUUUCCUAUAGUGCCAGUGGAGACAGGCGUGUCACAGUGGAGUCUCCAGCAAGAACAAAAUGUAGAGUUCAUUAAGCCCUUCCUUUAAUGGGCUAAUUGAGCUGUACCACAUGAACAUCAAAGCCCUGUACAUCCACACAGGUGUUUUCACUCUGAUUGGACGUCUGCCCAGGUGCAGUUUAACACUGGCAGCAUCAAACCGCUUUAAACUCUUGAUAAAGUGUCUCGAUAAAUCAAUCAAGUUAUCUAAUUAACUUAUUAACAAUUAAAUAAAGUUGCUCUGCCUUAAUGAGUGCGAUAAAACAGACUAAUAAAAGCGAUGUCAAUCAAACUGUGUCUCCACACACCCACACUCCCCUCAGAAAGGUCUUAACAGGCUAAGUAAGUGAAAACACCUGUGUGGGUUUAUCAUGAGUGUGUAAGGCCUUUAAUAUUUACUGCUCUCAAACUACAGGCCCACAUGAUAAAACUUGUAGAGCUGACAAAUGGAUUGUAAUGUAUCACUUGCUGGAUCCGUGCACAAGUUAUAAAUUAUGCCAAAUGAAAAAAAUAAUGCUUUAAAUGUGAUGACGCUCUCUCUUCUUUUUGCCUUUUAUGGUAAAACCAGUCGAUUCAAACUGCUGCUCGUGGGAGAAUGAAAACAGUUUUUCUUUAGUUAAUUGUUACUGAAUCUAAUCUUGGGUUUUGUUUAAGUAACUACUCCUGAAUCAACCUGCUAAUUUGCUAAAUUUAAUCCGAAUCAGUUACAUGUAAUAAUUUACCAAGAAAUAGUGCGACAGUGUCGUACAGGCCCGGCUGUGAAGUUCAACUCACAAGAUACCCACAGAUCAAAGACGUCUUGAUCGCACAGUCGAGGCUUGUUAUGUUAAAUGCACUACUGCCAUCAGAGGGGCGGAGCGUCCUUCUACACCUGAAAAUAAUCUAACAAGUCUCAACAAACACAACAAAGAGAGAGACAUUUUAUACCAGAGAUUCUCCGGCUUUUCAGCCCAGUGUCACAAACUGUUUCAACCGAACACAGAUCCAUGACGUCAUUUUUUAUUUUUAUUUUUUUUAUUCUAAAAACCUGCUGCGUGCAUCGUGCUGUGAUAUACAGGCUGCAAACACCAGCCGGGUCUGUCUGCCAGUUGAUACCGUUCACGCAAGCUCCCACAAAUCAGUGGCAAAUAGGCAGAUGGAAUGACCUUAAAUACCCUCAGCUGAAAACUAAUGCUGCCUUCAGUUGUCCCUGGGAAACUCCCAUUUUGCAUGAUGUCGAUACGAUUUAUCAUGAUUACUGCUGCCUCUGGUUUGUGAAUAAAAAUGCCGUUUUCUAUGACGUUUCCAAAGUACUUCUUAAGGUAUGUGUGCACAAAGUCAAAUAAAUGAACUGUGUUCAUUUAUAUGAUAUUAAAGUAAAUCAUACUGACAUUAUUAAAUAUAUUUUGACUUUAAAUUUAAUUGAAUUGAUAUGAUACUUCAUUAAAAGGUUGUAUUUUUCAUUCCCUCCCCAUUAAACCAGAGACUGAUGAUGACCAGUGUCUGAAAAGAUUCAUCUGUUGCUCAGUUUUAUAAAUACUAAUAAUUUUUUUUUUUUUUUUUUAAUGUUCAUAAUUCUGGUCAUUUGUCUUUUUUUUUUUUUUUUUGGCACAAUCCUCCCCUCACAUCUCCACAUCCAUCCCCCAUCCCACACACACUUUGCUCGGAUCGUUCCUGCACAAGCACUACUGCAUUUUCUGACAGCCUUUGAAGGCAUCAUUUUAUGCUCAUGGAGGUAUCGGUUCAUGAAGGUAACAUGUCAUCAUGCCGUGCUACUGCAAACUACGGCAGGGCAAAAGGGACACUUCAUAAAUAUUUGUCAAUAAGCCAACUUUACACUCCCAAACAAAUCUGCCCCCCCCUCCCCGGAAUAAAGGCUCGUGCAGACUUUUGUUUGUGCAAUGUCAAACACUGAACCGUCAUGUCCAGAAAAGCCCCAACAUAUAAGGUCACUAACGCACUGGGAAAAGAUAUGCCUGUUUAUUUUUACAUGCAAGAUGUUGAUCGGGCGCCUCAGCGAAGUUCGUGCUGCCGGAGCGAAAAAAGCGGCGCGGUUACAUCACGGCGGAGAGGAACUGACAUGUCCUUAAAGGCCACGGGAGUAAAAAGUGAGCCAGACCGUGCCACACCAGCGUUAUCACCCCGAAGCUGGACGCCUGCCCUCGGGCCGCAGGCUGCGACGGAAGCGAUAAACCCUCGGCCCAUAAAAACUCCGUCAAGUCUUCAGAGAAAAAAAAAAAAGAAGAAGAAGAAGAAGAAAAAGAAGAAGAAGAAGAAGAAGAAGGAAAAAAAAACGAGGCUAGCCUCGGGAAGGUUCGUUGCUCUUCGGCACCGACAGAAACUCCCCCGAAAUAUCCACCUAUUUAACUUGCUCUGGCUUUUUUGAUCAACUUAACAACCAACAACAACGACUUUCAACAGAGUUCCUGCCUCGUUUCAACCCGGGCUUCAAUUCGGCGCGAAUAAAAAACACCAGAGAUUAAAGUACAUCUAAACUUUUCGGAUAAACUCUCCCUUCUUUUUCGCGCCGUCUCAUUCCCGACCAGAAAAAAAAAAAAAAAAAAAAAGAGAAAACACACACACACACACACACACACACACACACACACACACACACACACACACACACACACACACACCAUCGUGGGCGUAAAGGCAGCGGAGUUAACCACUUAUGAAGUUCAAAUAUUCCUGUAAUAAAGUGCAGCUCGGUGGAUAAACUGUACCCUGCAAAUUGUUAAAAAUAAACAAAACAAAUCACCGAAUCGAUCCUGGAAAUGUCUUAAGUCCGUCCCC